rnacentral:tRNA from 1 species
GGGCGUGUAGCUCAGUUGGUUAGAGCGCUUCUCUUACACAGAAGAGGUCGUAGGUUCGAACCCUAUCUCGCCCACAA